rnacentral:misc_RNA from 1 species
UGUGGAAUUGAUUAUAUUACAGUAGGCCUCAUUUGCUCUCUUCCCCAAUUUGCAUGAUUGGAUUAUUUAUUUAUUUAUUUUGGGGGGUAGUGGGUGGAUGGAGCCACGGAGGACAUUAUUAGUGACAUUCCAUAGGUGCUAUCAUUUCUUUAAUACACUCUGCAGAUGAUGCCUCCUGUUUUAUGUUAAUGAUAUUUAGAUGAUUCUCUGCUCUAUAACCAAUGCAAAAGUGUAAAAAAAAAAAAAAAUUGUGUGCACAUAUGCACUUGGCAUGUGUUUGUGUGAGAAGAAGAGUUGUUCAUUUAAUUUCUUUCUAGUUCAUGGUCCAUUAUAUUGCACAGAUCCUUGAUAAGGCUUUACAAUUAAGCCUUGGUUAUUAGAAAUGGAAAAGUUUGCAUACCAAUCUGCUUAGCCUUACAACCAACAGCUAGCCUAGGAUUCUUGCUGCCCAGCAGCAAGCUGAAAAUUAACAAAGUCUUACAGGAAUCAUGACUUUUCGGCUUCCUUUUUUUCUUCCCUUUUUUUUUAAACCUGUUAGUUUUUUCUUUUUCCCCUCUUUUUUCAUAGUGAAGAGCCUCAAGGAAAAGGCCUCACAUUUAUUAGAAGAAUGUUACAAUGAGGAUGGCCUUGAUAUUAUGGUCUCAAAGAGCCUUAAUUAGACUCGAUCUGCAUUCUGUGCUAACAGGGUAUUACCAUGUCAUAGUGUCAGAGGAAGUCCCACAUUUGUUUUGAAAUUUAGAACUGAAUUUUCUGCAUAAUCUUUUCGAACUUUAGAUUCAUAACUUAAGAACAGUCUCACCUGGUAAUCAAUGCUACACCUACAUGGCAAAUAGAUACAAGGGACA